rnacentral:rRNA from 1 species
GUGUCAGCCGCCGCGGUAAUACAGGGGGUGCAAACGUUGCUCGGAAUUAUUGGGCGUAAAGCGCGCGUAGGCGGUUUUCUAAGUCGGAUGUGAAAGCCCUUGGCUCAACUGAGGAAGUGCAUCCGAAACUGGAAAGCUAGAGUCCCAAAGAGGAUCGCGGAAUUCCCAGUGUAGAGGUGAAAUUCGUAGAUAUUGGGAGGAACACCGGUGGCGAAGGCGGCGAUCUGGGUGGUGACUGACGCUGAGGCGCGAAAGCGUGGGGAGCAAACAGGAUUAGAUACCCUCGUAGUCC